rnacentral:rRNA from 1 species
ACUCAAAUGAAUAGACGGGGGCCCGCACAAGCGGUGGAGCAUGUGGUUUAAUUCGAUGCUACGCGAAAAACCUUACCUAGGCUUGACAUCCCGCGCUAUCCCGUGAAAGCGGGAGUUCCCUUACGGGACGCGGUGACAGGUGCUGCAUGGCUGUCGUCAGCUCGUGUUGUGAGAUGUUGGGUUAAGUCCCGCAACGAGCGCAACCCUCGCCUCUAGUUGCCAUCAUUAAGUUGGGCACUCUAGUGGGACCGCUGAGCUAUAAGCCAGAGGAAGGUGGGGAUGACGUCAAGUCCUCAUGGCCUUUAUGUCUAGGGCUACACACGUGCUACAAUGGGAGAUACAAAACGUUGCCAACUUGUAAAAGUGAGCUAAUCGUAAAAAGUCUCUUUCAGUUCGGAUUGAAGUCUGCAACUCGACUUCAUGAAGCUGGAAUCGCUAGUAAUCGCGGAUCAGCAUGCCGCGGUGAAUACGUUCCCGGGCCUUGUACACACCGCCCGU